AUCUAUUUAGUAUAUUAUAAGUACUUUUGACUUCCAAUCAAAGAGAUUGAACAUCAAAAUAGAUA
rnacentral:tRNA from 1 species